rnacentral:rRNA from 1 species
UAUAAGCACUUUAUACUGUGAAACUGCGAAUGGCUCAUUAAAUCAGUUAUCGUUUAUUUGAUAGUACCUUACUACAUGGAUACCUGUGGUAAUUCUAGAGCUAAUACAUGCUAAAAACCUCGACUUCGGAAGGGGUGUAUUUAUUAGAUAAAAAACCAACGCCCUUCGGGGCUCCUUGGUGAAUCAUAAUAACUAAGCGAAUCGCAUGGCCUUGCGCCGGCGAUGGUUCAUUCAAAUUUCUGCCCUAUCAACUUUCGAUGGUAGGAUAGUGGCCUACCAUGGUGGCAACGGGUAACGGGGAAUUAGGGUUCGAUUCCGGAGAGGGAGCCUGAGAAACGGCUACCACAUCCAAGGAAGGCAGCAGGCGCGCAAAUUACCCAAUCCCGACACGGGGAGGUAGUGACAAUAAAUACUGAUACGGGGCUCUUUUGGGUCUCGUAAUUGGAAUGAGUACAAUCUAAAUCCCUUAACGAGGAACAAUUGGAGGGCAAGUCUGUGGCACA